ACUGGGACUACAGGCUGGUAUUUUUUGUAGAGACAGGUCUCACCAUGUUGCCCAGGCUGGGCUUGAACUCCUGGGCUCUAGAGAUCUGCCCUCCUCAGAUUCCCAAAGUUCUGAGAUCACAAGCGUGUGCUACCAAGCCCAGCCCCAGAUAUUCGUAUUAACUAGAUAUUCUUAUUCAUAAAAGAAUGAGUUUGGACCCACCCCCUGACUCCAUCUCAAAAAUUAUAUGAAAAUUAAUUUUUCACAGUUUUUAUGGUUUUAUUUCAACACAAAACAUGCACAUGAGCUGUCUAUUCCCUUUCUUUGCUGUGCUGCCUGGCAUUGCGACUGGUGACUCUGAUGGCCAGCUGGGCUGCCCUUUCCAUGAUGGCUUUGCAGUUCCAGAGGACACAUUGUGAGCUAUCUCAGGACAGUAAGAUUUUCUGCAUGUCAGCAGCCCUUCCAAGUCCUUGACAAUGCGUACCAGAAACUUCCAGAAGCCGCUGGGCAGCAUGUGCUUUGUGUUUUCAUUGCUUCUCUAUAACCAAUGUUGGGCAUCAAGAUCUGGCCCUUGAAUCUUCUAUGAACGCAGUUGUCUCUGGGUUUCCACCGGUUAUGCUUAAUUUUGACAUAUUGUUCUGACUGGUGGUGAAUGAACUUCUUGCUCCUCUUUUUGAUGAUCUUGGGCUUCAUGAGGGGUCUGAUGGUGGCCAUGAUGGUGAGUAAGAGAUGGCUCUAAAAAUCAACCCCAAAUGGAUCAAAGACCUUAAAUGUAGGAGCUAAAAUUAUAAAGCUCUUGAAAGAAAACAUAAGGGUAAAUCUUCAUGACCUUGGAUUUGACAAUGGAUUCUUAAAUAUGACACCAAAAGCACAAGCCACAGAAGGGAAAAAAAAGAAGAUACAUUGAACUUCAUAAGAAUUAAAAUAAUUAAUUUGUGCAUCCCAGGACACUAUCAAGAAAGUGAAAAGACAACCUAGAGAAUGAGAAAAAAUACUUAUAAAUCAUAUACCUGAUAAGGCUCCAGUGUCCAAUAUAUACACAGAAUUCUUACAACAGCUACAGAAAAAUGAACAACCCAACUAAAAAAUGGGCAACGAUUUGAAUAGAUAUUUUUUCUUUUCCUUUUGCUAGACAGGGUCUUACUUUGUUGCUCAGGUGCAACCAUGGCUCACUGCAGCCUCAACCUCUCCCUCUCAGUUAUCCUCCCCUCUCAGCCUCCUGAGUAGCUGAGACUACAGACUCAUACUUUUUGUAGAGACAGGGUCAUGCCAUGUUGCUUAGGCUGGUCUCAAACUCCUGAACUCAAGCAAUCCUCCUGCCUCAGCCUCCCAAAGUGCUGGGAUUACAGGUGUGAGCCACAAUGCCUGUCCCCAAAUAGAUAAUUUUCUAAAGAAGAUAUACUAAUGGCAACAAGCACAUGAAAAGAUGCUCAAUAGCAUUACUUAGGGAAAUGCAAAUCAAAACCACAAUGAGAUUCCACUGUACACCCACUAGGUUGACUAUAAUAAAAAAAAGGAAAGUAACAAGUGUCGGAUGGGAUGUGGAGAAAUUAGAACCCUCAUACGUUACUGGUGGAAGUAUAAAAUGGUUCAGUAGCUUUGAAAAACAGUUUGGCAGUCUCUCAGGUUAAACACACUUGCUAGUUCCCGAAUGUCCACAGUCAAAAGAGCAAUUCCACUUUUUGGUAUGUAUACCGAAGAGAAAUAAAAACAUGUUUAGAGUCACCACCAGGUGGCACUGUUAUUUUAAAAUUCAAAAUUGUAUAAUGCCACAAAAUGUUAAUUUAUUAACAAUAUUGUGAUAUAAUAAUUGACUUGGGUUAAGGCAAAAAUAACAAAGUUUUCUAUAGCUCUCAAAAAAGGAAAAUAAGGUAGAAAUUUAAAUGUCUUAAUGAAAAUAAUGCUUUGAAUCAUUAAAACAGGAUAUGAUACUCCAAUCCAUUUUAUAUUAUUAACGUUUUCAAAAUUACCAUAAAAUGGACAAAGUUAUCUUCCCUUGUUUUGUGGCUUCUAAAGUCUAUGAAGUUUAGGCUGGGUGCCAUGGCUUACACCUGUAAUCCCAGCACUUUGGGAGGCCGAGAUGGGCAGAUCACCUGAGGUCAGGAGUUCAAGACCAGCCUGACCAACAUGGUGAAACCCCGAAUCUACUAAAAAUACAAAAAAAUUAUCCAGGUAUGGUGGUGGAGGCCUGUAAUCCCAGCUACUUGGGAGGCUGAGGCAAGAGAAUCAUUUGAACCCAGGAGGCAGAGGUUUCAGUAAGCCAAGAUCUCACCACUGCACUCCAGCCUGGGCAACAGAGUGAGACUCUGUCUCAAAAAAACAAAAAAUAAAUAAAUAAAUAAAGUCUAUGAAGUUUAAUUCUCCAAUGUUAAAAAGUAAUUUUCAAGUAUAUAGGAGAUUGAAAAUGCCUGAUCAAAUUGAAAUAUUAAAGGAUAUGACACUGACAACAACUUUAAGCUUAAGUUAUCAAAUAAGGACUCUCCUAACCCUGAGCUUGCAUAAUAAUCCAUUUUUUAAAGUGUGUAAUUUAGUAACCUUCCAAUUUCUUGACCACAACCCACAAAAGGAAAUAAAUUAUUUAUUCAGACCCAGUACAAAGUUUUUAUUCUAUUUUAUUUGAAUCUUGUCUGCCUUGUUAAAAAAAAAAAGUUGAUUCUAACCUACUAAAUAAGUUUGGUGAC
rnacentral:lncRNA from 1 species